rnacentral:rRNA from 1 species
GACGAAGGAUGCAAGCGUUAUCCGGGUUCAUUGGGUUUAAAGGGAGCGUAGGUGGCCUUAUAAGUCAGUGGUGAAAUCUCUGGGCUUAACCCAGAAAUUGCCAUUGAUACUGUAGGGCUUGAGUAUAGAUGCCGUUGGCGGAAUAUGACAUGUAGUGGUGAAAUACAUAGAGAUGUCAUAGAACACCGAUUGCGAAAGGCAGCUAACGAAACUAUAACUGACACUGAGGCUCGAAAAGUGUGGGGGAUCA